rnacentral:rRNA from 1 species
UACGUAGGGGGCGAGCGUUGUCCGGAUUUAUUGGGCGUAAAGAGCGUGUAGGCGGUUCGGUAAGUCUGUCGUGAAAUCCUGAGGCUCAACCUCGGGCGUGCGAUGGAUACUGCCGGGCUAGAGGGUGGUAGAGGCGAGUGGAAUUCCCGGUGUAGCGGUGAAAUGCGCAGAUAUCGGGAGGAACACCGGUGGCGAAGGCGGGUCUCUGGGCAGUAACUGACGCUGAGGAGCGAAAGCGUGGGGAGCGAACAGG